rnacentral:rRNA from 1 species
GUGAGGAAUAUUGCGCAAUGGAGGCAACUCUGACGCAGCCAUGCCGCGUGCAGGAAGAAGGCGCUACGCGUUGUAAACUGCUUUUAACCGGGAAGAAACCCCAGGACGUGUCCUGGGUUGACGGUACCGGAGGAAUAAGCACCGGCUAACUUCGUGCCAGCAGCCGCGGUAAUACGAAGGGUGCAAGCGUUAUCCGGAUUCAUUGGGUUUAAAGGGUGCGUAGGCGGGGCGUUAAGUCAGUGGUGAAAUCCUGCAGCUUAACUGUAGACUUGCCAUUGAUACUGGCGCUCUUGAGUGCGCUUGAAGUGGGCGGAAUGUGCCGUGUAGCGGUGAAAUGCUUAGAUAUGGCACAGAACACCAAUUGCGAAGGCAGCUCACUAAGGCGAUACUGACGCUGAGGCACGAAAGCGUGGGGAUCGAACAGGAUUAGAAACCCUAGUAGUCC